AGCUCCAAUAGCGUAUAUUAAAGUUGUUGUGGUUAAAAAGCUCGUAGUUGGAUUUCGGCGGGGAGUGGGUGGUUUGAAUUGAUUAAACAAUAACUUUUUUACCCGUGUGUUUUGCCCGAAUCUUACGCGCGAUCUUUUCCGUUUGUCCGCUGGAACUGGCAGGUUUACUUUGAAAAAAUUAGAGUGCUCAAAGCAAGCUUACUGCUUGAAUAGUUGCGCAUGGAAUAAUAGAAUAGGAAGUCGUUUCUAUUUUGUUGGUUUUCGGAAAUCGACUUAAUGAUUAAGAGGGAUAGUCGGGGGCAUUCGUAUUCAAACGACAGAGGUGAAAUUCUUGGACCGUUUGAAGACGAACUAAGGCGAAAGCAUUUGCCAAGAAUGUUUUCA
rnacentral:rRNA from 1 species